UACGAAGGGGGCUAGCGUAUUGAUUCGAUCUGGGCGUAAAGCGCACGUAGGCGGAUACUUAAGUCAGGGGUGAAAUCCCGGGGCUCAACCCCGGAACUGCCUUUGAUACUGGGUAUCUCGAGUCCGGAAGAGGUGAGUGGAAUUCCGAGUGUAGAGGUGAAAUUCGUAGAUAUUCGGAGGAACACCAGUGGCGAAGGCGGCUCACUGGUCCGGUACUGACGCUGAGGCGCGAAAGCGUGGGGAGCAAACAGG
rnacentral:rRNA from 1 species